GAUGAACGCUAGCGGCAGGCCUAACACAUGCAAGUCGAGGGGCAGCGGGGGUAGCAAUACCUGCCGGCGACCGGCGCACGGGUGCGUAACGCGUAUGCAACCUGCCCACUCCCGGGGGAUAGCCCGCCGAAAGGCGGAUUAAUACCCCAUGGACCCUUAGCCCCGCAUGGGGCGGAGGGUAAAGCUCCGGCGGGAAUGGAUGGGCAUGCGUGCCAUUAGCUGGCUGGCGGGGUAACGGCCCACCAGGGCUACGAUGGCUAGGGGGUCUGAGAGGAUGAUCCCCCACACUGGUACUGAGACACGGACCAGACUCCUACGGGAGGCAGCAGUGAGGAAUAUUGGUCAAUGGGCGGAAGCCUGAACCAGCCAUGCCGCGUGCAGGACGACGGCCCUACGGGUUGUAAACUGCUUUUCCGGGGGAAGAAUAAGGCCCAUGCGUGGGCCGAUGCCGGUACCCCGGGAAUAAGGAUCGGGCUAACUCCGUGCCAGCAGCCGCGGUAAU
rnacentral:rRNA from 1 species